rnacentral:rRNA from 1 species
UACGAAGGGGGCUAGCGUUGUUCGGAAUUACUGGGCGUAAAGCGCGCGCAGGCGGUCUUCCAAGUCAGUGGUGAAAGCCCGGAGCUCAACUCCGGAACUGCCCAUUGAAACUGUUAGACUUGAGGAUGAGAGAGGUGAGUGGAAUUCCCAGUGUAGAGGUGAAAUUCGUAGAUAUUGGGGAAGAACACCGGUGGCGAAGGCGGCUCACUGGCUCAUUACUGACGCUCGAGGCGCGAUAGCGUGGGGAUCAAACAGG